rnacentral:rRNA from 1 species
AGUGGGGAAUAUUGCACAAUGGGCGCAAGCCUGAUGCAGCCAUGCCGCGUGUAUGAAGAAGGCCUUCGGGUUGUAAAGUACUUUCAGCAGUGAGGAAGGUGGAUAUGUUAAUAGCAUAUUCAUUUGACGUUAGCUGCAGAAGAAGCACCGGCUAACUCCGUGCCAGCAGCCGCGGUAAUACGGAGGGUGCGAGCGUUAAUCGGAAUUACUGGGCGUAAAGCGCAUGCAGGUGGUUUGUUAAGUCAGAUGUGAAAGCCCGGGGCUCAACCUCGGAAUUGCAUUUGAAACUGGCAAACUAGAGUACUGUAGGAGGGGGUAGUAAUUUCAGGUGUAGCGGUGAAAUGCGUAGAGAUCUGAAGGAAUACCGGUGGCGAAGGCGGCCCCCCUGGACAGAUACUGACACUCAGAUGCGAAAGCGUGGGGAGCAAACAGGAUUAGAUACCCUGGUAG